UGGAGUUACUAGUAAUCGCAGAUCAGAAUGCUGCGGUGAAUGCGUUCCCGGGCCUUGUACACACCGCCCGUCACACCACGGAAGUUGGGGGCGCCCGAAGCCACUUAGCUAACCCUUUUGGGAAGCGAGUGUCGAAGGUGAAAUCAAUAACUGGGGUGAAGUCGUAACAAGGUAGC
rnacentral:rRNA from 1 species